CUUAAGAAUUGAGGGAAUAAUAUUUUUGUAGAUGAAUAUACAACACACAAACACACACGAAUCACCACUCUCAACCAUAGAUUAAAAAAUCAAUGGUUAGAUUCUUUCUCCCACAACACACACGGAUCACCACUCUCAACCAUAGAUUAAAAAAUCAAUGGUUAGAUUCUUUCUCCCACAACACACACAGAUCACCAUUCUCAACCAUAGAUUAAAAAAUCAAUGGUUAGAUUUACAUGAAACCCUUUUGAAACCCUUUCACUCUCACUCUCACUUUACCACUCUCACUCUAUUCUCACGGGCUCACGGCGCCUCUCAAAUCUCCCUCUCCGUGACAUUCAUUCUCACGGGCUCACGGCGCCUCCGUCUCCCUCAUACAUUCAUUCACGGCUGCCAGAAUACCAAACCUUGAAGCUGUCCUGAUCUCCCUCUUUCUCAUCGAUGUUGUUGCUGCCCUAAAUCUCCAAAUUCAGUGUUGUGUAUUGAAGAAUGAAUUCAUAGUUUUUGUUUGAGCUUGAAGAAAUGACUUAACACUCUACGGUUUUAGUUAUCUCAGCAAAUUUGCUGAGCUUAAGGAUGUUGAUUCAGUGCUUCCGUUAUAAUGAUGUACUAUUCUCAAUCCGUGGACUUGAUUUAUGUAUUUACGGAAGUUUGUUAUUUCAUAGUUCUUAUCUCUUA